rnacentral:rRNA from 1 species
CCGAAGCUUGCUUUGGUGGUUAGUGGCGAACGGGUGAGUAACACGUGAGUAACCUGCCCCUGACUCUGGGAUAAGCCUGGGAAACUGGGUCUAAUACCGGAUAUGACCAUGGAACGCAUGUUUUGUGGUGGAAAGAUUUAUCGGUUGGGGAUGGACUCGCGGCCUAUCAGCUUGUUGGUGAGGUAAUGGCUCACCAAGGCGACGACGGGUAGCCGGCCUGAGAGGGUGACCGGCCACACUGGGACUGAGACACGGCCCAGACUCCUACGGGAGGCAGCAGUGGGGAAUAUUGCACAAUGGGCGAAAGCCUGAUGCAGCGACGCCGCGUGAGGGAUGACGGCCUUCGGGUUGUAAACCUCUUUCAGUAGGGAAGAAGCGAGAGUGACGGUACCUGCAGAAGAAGCGCCGGCUAACUACGUGCCAGCAGCCGCGGUAAUACGUAGGGCGCAAGCGUUAUCCGGAUUUAUUGGGCGUAAAGAGCUCGUAGGCGGUUUGUCGCUCUGCCGUGAAAGUCCGAGGCUCAACCUCGGAUCUGCGGUGGGUACGG